GCGGCGUGCGGGCGGCCGCCGCUCCCCUCCUGAUUUUACUUUUUUUCAAGCAAUUAAGGAGGCAUUUUGAUGAGACGUCCCGGUCGUGGUCAGCGCCGCGGGCACCCACCGGGGGGCACUUUUGUCCCCAGCGUCUUGGCCGGGCCGGGCCGCGCCCCGCCUUAGCGCGCCUCCCUCCCCCGGGCAUCGUCGCUUCGCUGGGUCCGCCCCGGCCGGCCCAGGGCCUCACCCCGCGGCCUAGCCCCGGCCGGCCCCGCGCCAGCAGUGUGCCCCUGGUGCCGCUGUGGGGGCCCUCUCGGCGCGUUCCCCGCUCCCCCCAUCACUUAGGUCGGCCAGCUCUGUCCGGGACGGGCCGCUGCUGACUUCAGCACCAGAGCAAACAGUUUCCGGACCAGGUUUAGCUUGGGUUGCUCUUGUGAAACGCGGCCGCGAGCCCGAGUUAUCUGAACGCUCGCGUGCUGCGUGGACUGCCUUGUAACUUCUAACUUCCUGGUUUAAACAUGUGCAAAAGCAAAGUAGAGCUGAAAAUCGGGGCUCGACACGUGGGGCGGGAGUCCAGUCCGCAUGCGUAAUACCCUGUGUGCCUCUCCUCCCCCAAGUCCGAGUGCCGCUUGGUUUUUCCCGGUCUCCCGGCGGUCACAUUUGGCGCGUUGGCCCUUUGAGCCAUGGGCUCCGGGUCCAGACGCGGCCGCGGUGACCACAGCCGGCUGGGAGGCCAGGCGCCACCCCCUAGGCUUUGAGGGCGGAAGAGUCCGCCCUACGGCGGUGGCGAAGGUGGCCGCUGCCGCCCACGCGGGCUCACGGAGACCCGGGACAUCAGAGCAGAGGAACAUCGCCAGGCCUUCCUUCAACACCCGUAAGGCUGCCAUGUAGACAGCCCCCACCCUCGGCCUCCCAGAUGUGACCAGGACCUUCAACAUUUCUGUACACGGGAAAGGUUUGACCCUACACGCCACCUCGACAUCGAACCCCACCUGUCCAGGGACCCCGACAGCCAACCACAAAAGCCAGCCCCUCCAGAGGACCCGCCCACCGACACCCUGCUCUGUCCAUACACCAGAGGCUGGUCAGUCUACACACAUGGAAGCUUGAGGACUGCAGCCCUGCUCCAGGCGCAAACCCGAGGGCUGCUGGUCAACACCCGGCGGAAGCCUGGAGAACUCAACAAGGGACACCUGGGACCAGGGUCCCACUGUCGCCCUGCUCUGUUAGUACUAACAGUAGUAUUGACCUUGCUGUUGUCCAGAUUCGGCCAAGGCAGCCCCAGAGAUGUGGGGCAGGCCACAAAGAGUUGCUGUAGCCAUGUCCUGCGUGGGAACGCUGAGUCCAUUAGGAGGCGUCUUUGGUUUCUUACAAUAGAGUGCAGAGUCAGGUUACUCUCCAGGCACGUGGGCUUUGAGCUGUUCCCCUACAACGUGAUAAACCCCAUUGCCUCAGCCACCUGGUCUCAGGGUUAAGCAUCCAUUAGCCUCACUUUCAAUGGGUGUGAACUAGACCUCGCCAAAGAUAGCAGCCCCCACUGCUCCUACUGGGGGGGGGGGGGGCCUGAUACCAGUUACCGCCUGGCUGACAGCUACCUCUGCGGUGGGCCCACCCCCGCUCAGGCCAAUACAUGCACCCCAUAUUGCACAGCCGGGUGGGGUUGCGAGUCCUGGGUUGUUAAGGCCCUCAGUACUCGUGGGUUCCUGCGUUGAACCCCAGAACCUCGGCCCGACACCCCUAUUUCCUUGUGGUGGAAUGGCGGGAGGCCAGCAGAACAAAUGUGUCAAUCUCACCCUCACUGUCCUCCGGCCCAGCCUGACCUGUGGGCCUCUGGAGUCACCCGCCAGUUGGGCCAGCACCACCCCAGGCCUAAUAAGAACCCCGUGGUUCUUUUCAGAGUGAAAUCGCGAUUCCUCCUGCAUGUUGUGGUCCAGGACAUGAAGUUGCAGGCCACCCAUGAGGGGCCCAGUAACCAGAGAGAGACCACGGCUCAGCUCAGACUCCCAAGUGGUUAACUUUACCCAUGCCGCCCUAAACCAGCCCAAGCCAACCUGGGGUAGGGACUGCUGGGCCUGCAUGGCCCCAGGACCCUCACGGUACCUCGGGUUAGCUGUCAGUUUAUCCACAGCGGUCUCCUCGGGACAGGGCUCCACCGACAGGAUCCUGACUGCCCAGGUCCCUAUCUUUGGUAAGUCCCCUAUUCUAUCCAGGUCUACCAGGGUCAUCCCCAGCCGCACUGCCCUGGCCUCCUUGCACAGUCUUUCCUGUGCCUUGCCAGCUAGUUAGGCUCCUGUCCGAGCUCUCUCUGACCCCAGGGUCUCAGGCCCCCUCCUAUCCACAUGGACCUAAAUGCAUUCCGGUUACUACAAUUCCCCUGGUCUUGGGGCUUCCGGCCGCUGCCAAGGCUGCUGAGGGGGCUGCCAGCACGGGGCUGUCCCAGGCUCAACACUAGUCUCUGAGGGAACAGAUCACCACCGACUCCGCCCCCACCCCCCACCCCCGGCCCCAAGACAGAUUCCUUGGCCGCCGUGGUUCUGCAGACCCGCUGCCCACGGGGGCCUCUGCCUAAGAAUGCCGUUUCCAUUGCGGAGACUAGAACAACCUCAGGCCAGGCGGGAGGCUGUCCCCACCUUCCUGAGUUCCCCGGUAGACCGACUCCCCUGGACAUCACCUUUCCCCGGAGUAGGGCUAGCUUAGGUUGCUCUUGCAAAACGCAGCUGCGCGCCUAAGAGUUCUGCAGGAACUGCCUUGUUAACUAACUUCCUGGUUUGAAAUGUACAAAUGCAAAGGAGACCGAAACGUCGGGGUCGACGCCCGUCAAGUCCGCAUACGCAAUAAACUGUGCCUUUCCUCUC